rnacentral:rRNA from 1 species
AGUAAGGCCCCACCCAGCUAAAACAGUACGGGCUCUGAGAGGAGGGGCCCGGAGAUGGGUACUGAGACACGGACCCAGGCCAUAUGGGGCGCAGCAGGCGAGAAACCUUUGCAAUGUGCGAAAGCACGACAAGGUUAAUCCGAGUGUCUCCUGCUAAAGGAGUCUUUUGUCAGUUGUAGAAUCACUGGUGAAUAAGGGGUGGGCAAGUUCUGGUGUCAGCCGCCGCGGUAAAACCAGCACCUCGAGUGGUCAGGAGGUUUAUUGGGCCUAAAGCAUCCGUAGCCGGUUGCAUAAGUUUUCGGUUAAAUCUAUGCGCUUAACGUAUAGGCCGCCGAAAAUACUGUGCAGCUAGGGAGUGGGAGAGGUACACGGUACUCGAUAGGAAGGGGUAAAAUCCUUUGAUCUAUUGAAGACCACCUGUGGCGAAGGCGGUGUACCAGAACACGUUCGACGGUGAGGGAUGAAAGCUGGGGGAGCAAACCGGAUUAGAUACCCGGGUAGUCCCAGCUGUAAACGAUGCAGACUCGGUGAUGCAUUGGCUUGUGGCCAAUGCAGUGCCGCAGGGAAGCCGUUAAGUCUGCCGCCUGGGAAGUACGUACGCAAGUAUGAAACUUAAAGGAAUUGGCGGGGGAGCACCACAAGGGUGAAGCCUGCGGUCAAUUGGAUUCAACGCCAGAA